rfam:TPA: Bos taurus chromosome 10, whole genome shotgun sequence.
UCCCUGGUGGCUCAGAUGGUAAGAGCAUCUGCCUACAAUGCGGGAGGCCCAGGUUCGAUCCCUGGGUCGGGAA